rnacentral:rRNA from 1 species
CUUGGUCNUUUAGAGGAAGUAAAAGUCGUAACAAGGUUUCCGUAGGUGAACCUGCGGAAGGAUCAUUACAGAGUAUCUUGCCCUGACGGGUAGAGACCCUCCACCCUGUGUUAUUGUUACCUUUGUUGCUUUGGUGGGUUGCUGGUUCUCUCCAGCUCUCAGGUCCCCUGGGAUGUACCUGCCAGAGGACCUCAAAUUCUAUAUUUAAAUGUUGUCUGAGUUAUUAUAUAAUAGUUAAAACUUUCAACAACGGAUCUCUUGGUUCUGGCAUCGAUGAAGAACGCAGCGAAAUGCGAUAAGUAAUGUGAAUUGCAGAAUUCAGUGAAUCAUCGAAUCUUUGAACGCACAUUGCGCCCUGUGGUAUUCUGCAGGGCAUGCCUGUUCGAGCGUCAUUGCAACUCUCAAGCUCUGCUUGGUGUUGGGCUGUGCCGGUUACGGCAGGCCCUAAAAUCAGUGGCGGUGCUGUUAGGCCCUAAGCGUAGUAGUUUUUUCUCGCUACAGGGUUUUUAAUAGUAGUGGCCAUCAACCCCAACUCCUUAUGGUUGACCUCGGAUCAGGUAGGGAUACCCGCUGAACUUAAGCAUAUCAAUAAGCGGAGGAA